rnacentral:rRNA from 1 species
UGGGUAACCUGCCUCAAAGAGGGGAAUAGCCUCCCGAAAGGGAGAUUAAUACCGCAUAAUAUGUUUUAGUCGCAUGACUUAAACAUCAAAGGAUUUUCUUUAGAAAUUCCACUUUGAGAUGGACCCCGCGGCGCAUUAGCUAGUUGGUGAGGUAAUGGCUCACCAAGGCGACGACGGGUAGCCGGCCUGAGAGGGUGACCGGCCACACUGGGACUGAGACACGGCCCAGACUCCUACGGGAGGNAG